GGUUCACACAUUAGAGAUAAGCUCGGAGGAGGAUAAUACAAAGGCUUUUCUUAUGCUCAAUGAGAUCAUACUGACUUUAAAGGAUGCAAAGGAUGAAGCUAGAAAAGUGGCUUAUGAUACAAUCCUCAUGAUAAGUUCUGCCUUCAGAAACUCAUCAGAUGCGGGUUCUGGUGAAGCUUAUCACAAACUGAUCAGCAUGAUAAUGGGUUAUCUUUCGGGUCCGUCUCCUCACAUAAAGAGUGGAGCAGUUUCUGCACUGUCUCUACUGGUGUACAAUGAUGUAGACAUCUGUCUUAAGAUCCCUGAUCUUGUUCCCUCUUAUCUCUGCUGCAAAGCAAAGCUGUGGAAGUCACAAAAGCUAUUUUGGGUUUUGUGAAAGUACUAGUAUCAUCCUUGCAAGCUAAAGACCUGCAAAAUCUUCUAUCAGACAUCACCAGUGGAGUUCUCUUGUGGUCAUCUAUCUCUAGAUUUCAUUUUAGAUCUAAGGUGACAGUCAUAAUGGAGAUCAUGAUGCGGAAGUGUGGUUUUGCUGCAGUUGAGUUAGUUACACCGGACAAGUACAAGGGUUUUGUCAAGACUGUUUUGCAGAAUCGUCAUCAUAAGUCUACUUCCAAGGAAGCUGGAUCAAAUGAUAUAGAAACAAUGCCUGCAGAUUCAUCUGGCAAGAGGAUGAAUAAGCAGAACAAAGAAUCAGGUUCUGUGGCUAAGGAGAAUGGUUCAGUGCAUCAUAGGAAGAGAAAGAGAGAAAAUAAGGAAAAUUGGAGCCCUCCUUCCUUGAGGGAGCCUCAUAUACCAAGCGGUGAUGGCCGUGUACCUAAAGGAAGCAAGAAAGCUAGGCACUCUGAAUAUCAAAAAUCAACAAAGGGUCAGUCAGCAGAAAAUAAGAAGAGGAGGAAGUUUGUUAAAGAGUUCACAAGUGGUGGGAACAAAAAGAUGAAAUGGAGGAACACGAGCAAGAAAGGUGAAACAGCAUUUAAUAGACCUGCGACUACCUCCAAAGUACACAAACACAAUAAAUUUGGGAAGAAACAAAAAAACUAGUGAUUCAUACAGCACUCCAUGUACCUGGAUCUGCUUCGAAUUGUACAAAUGCAGUAAGGAGUUUGGAAAGAAGCAGAACGUGAGACUGACCUAUCGUGAAAUGAAGACAGCCAGUUGCUUAUACAUCUUUGAAAUGAAUUUUGUGAAGUCUCACCUGAAACUGCCGUAUGGCCAGAGAGUUUUUUUCGGGGAGAAGUAUUUGAAGUUCAGUUUAAGCUUAUGUUUUUGUCAGAGAGCUCUGUAUUUGUAGAAUCAUGGACAUGAAAUAUCAGCAACAGUCGUCUCCUUGAAACAAAAUGAGGACUGCAGGAUUUUUCGAAUUUCCAAAGCAGCAGUUGGCUAUAUGUAUGAUUGUGUACAAAUCAAAUACACUGGAAAAUUGUAGUGUCCC
rnacentral:misc_RNA from 1 species